GUUUGAUAUUUGGGUUUAUGUCAUAUAUAUGGUUAUAUAAAGUAUGAAAAGGCUUCGCUAUUACACGAGAUAUCUUAUGAAUAUAUCAGGUGUUUAUAAAGAAUUAAAUUUUGUUAUUUCUAGUUCAAUAACUUUAAUUAAUCAAAUUUAUACUUUAUAUGUCAUGAUAUACAAUUAUUGACCAUAUCAUAGCACCCCGUAUCAAUAACCCUGAAUCCUAAAAUUUAUAUAAUGAAGGAUCUGACUUCUAGAUCUGUACCUAUAUCAGAUACCGACACCAGAGUCUGAGCAACAUAGAACAUAACCAUACCAAAAAAAUUCUGGACAAAGAAUUGGAAAGGUGAAAAUUAUGCAGCUAAUCAAGAAGCAAGACAUAGUCCAUGUGCUCUCAUUGGAAAGUAGUAGCUACCGACAUUGUUCAUCUAGCAUUAUAAGUUCAUCGCACCCAUUAAGACAAGGAUAAUAUAGCCUAAGCAAGUGAAUACAUUAGAGAUAGUGUGGAUAGGUGUAUCAAAAAUGGGAAUAGAUGCUCGGUGAAUAAAGUACAACACUUAAUGGGUAAAAUAAAGUAUUUGUGCAAAACCUUCAUCAUUUCCCAUUUUAUGCGGUCUUUUUGUCUUGAUUUGGGAAAAUUGAAUGAGAACUUUCAUUUGCUAAAAACUAAUGCAUGAAAUACAUCUUUUUUAGACUAUGCUGAACUUUAUACACAUCACUGACCUGCUUCUAACCAGUUAAUAAUAAGAUAAAGGAAGUUAGCAAUUAA
rnacentral:misc_RNA from 1 species